rnacentral:ncRNA from 1 species
AGUGAAGUUGGAAACUGUGAUUAGUUCUCUUAAUUUGGGCACCUUGAGAGCUAUGAGUUAGUGGUGCAACCCGCCAGCAAUUAA